AUUGAACGCUGGCGGCAUGCCUUACACAUGCAAGUCGAACGGCAGCACGGGUGCUUGCCCCUGGUGGCGAGUGGCGAACGGGUAAGUAAUACAUCGGAACAUGUCCUGUAGUGGGGGAUAGCCCGGCGAAAGCCGGAUUAAUACCGCAUACGAUCUACGGAUGAAAGCGGGGGACCUUCGGGCCUCGCGCUAUAGGGUUGGCCGAUGGCUGAUUAGCUAGUUGGUGGGGUAAAGGCCUACCAAGGCGACGAUCAGUAGCUGGUCUGAGAGGACGACCAGCCACACUGGGACUGAGACACGGCCCAGACUCCUACGGGAGGCAGCAGUGGGGAAUUUUGGACAAUGGGCGAAAGCCUGAUCCAGCAAUGCCGCGUGUGUGAAGAAGGCCUUCGGGUUGUAAAGCACUUUUGUCCGGAAAGAAAUCCUUGGCUCUAAUACAGUCGGGGGAUGACGGUACCGGAAGAAUAAGCACCGGCUAACUACGUG
rnacentral:rRNA from 1 species